UGCAAGUCGAGGGGCAGCGGGAUUGAAGCUUGCUUCAAUCGCCGGCGACCGGCGCACGGGUGAGUAACGCGUAUCCAACCUUCCGUUUACUCAGGGAUAGCCUUUCGAAAGAAAGAUUAAUACCUGAUAGUAUGGUAAGAUUGCAUGGUAGUACCAUUAAAGAUUCAUUGGUAAACGAUGGGGAUGCGUUCCAUUAGGUAGUAGGCGGGGUAACGGCCCACCUAGCCGACGAUGGAUAGGGGUUCUGAGAGGAAGGUCCCCCACAUUGGAACUGAGACACGGUCCAAACUCC
rnacentral:rRNA from 1 species